GACGGGGUGUUAUUGUUUUCUUUCACUUUUACUAUUAUUACCACAUCUUUUAAAAAAGCAAAACUGUCUUUUUGGGCCAGGAAGCCAAGGAAGUUCCAUUCUUUCGCGUUCCAUUUGUUUAAGGUACCUCUGUAAAAGCAAAUAAUUUGGCAGAAAAAGCGGAGUCGCCAGGAAAUUGAAUGUGUUUUGUCUCCGGCGAAGUUUCCCUUGAGUGAUUUAGUUUGCUUUCUGUCUCGCUGAGGAGCCGGCUCUGCACUCCGGACCUCCAGACCUCCGACCUCCUCCGGGGAGCCUGGGCCUGCAGCAAGCAGCCCCCAUCCUCUACCUCUUUAGGUGGCCAGGGAGCUCCCCACCACCACCACCUUAGGCCAGGUAACCCGCCCUCCCGAAGAACAAAACGUGGACUUGCAGAAUCAUCCUAAUGCAAGGAGAAAAUAGGAUUAGGCCAAAGUAUCAGCAAGACCCUGAGAGUCAUAAAGGCCUGAAGAGCCUGCCCGGGUGCCUGGUCCUCCCACCGUCCUUAAUAUACAAGAACCACCUGGAGCUUCCUGUCUGUCCCAAAGGGUCUCAGCUUUCCAGCUGUGCACAGCUGGGUCCUCCCAUCUCUACCACACCCGCUCCUCUGGCUUAUUUCGUUGGACCCUGAAAGCAAUCUGGUGAGAAGCCCUCGAGACUGGAGAACAUUACAAAAAUAUCCCAGUAAAAGAAAAAAAGGACUCCAGCCCAGCCGUGGAGAGGGGGUCCCAGAUGAGCCCGUGGAACAAGUGUGUGGACAUCAUUGCACCUUACCUGGGUCUGGCUGGCUCAGGCUCCUUGGUACCAGCGAGUGCGAGUGCGAGUGCGCGAGUGCGGUGUUAGAGGAGUCCUGUUGUUCCGUUUCUAUUCCUGGCAGAUCUCACUUUGCCAGAGAUUAGGCAAAGGUGAAUCAGACUGCAAGACCCUGAAAUGCAGAGGAGCACUGUUGACCAGAACACCACUCUGUUCUCUACCUGCACUGGGGAGAGAGAGGGAGGGAGAUGGAGAAAGGAGUGGUGUUUUAUUUAGCAAAUCUAGGGCAAGGCAGAGAAACCCCAGAAUCUGCCUUUCCUUCCCUUCUCUUCCAGGGCUCUGCCUUUCUCCCCCAACCAACGGAUGUUGCAGAUAAACAGCCACCAAAGCAGAGGCCAGGGUGCCCAGGCUGUUCAGUAUGUGCCUUUGUGAGCCUGGGCAUUGGCAACCUCCACACUGAGACCUGAGCUCUAAUGAUACAGGACUAGGGCUUGGACCACGAGCUGCAGUGGCCAGGCUGCUGUAGGACACAGGGUGGAGGUUAGAGCAUCAGGAGCCCAGGCAGCCCAGCCCACAGUGGCAAGGACUGCUUGGCUCCUGUGGCCUUGGAGUAGAGCAGGCCUCAGAGAGAGCCUGGUCCUGGAGGUUUUUUGGUAGAUUGCUUUUUGUUGGAGAGAAGAGUUUUGGUGAUGUGAUUUGUGCUGGCAAAGCAUACAGGAAAUAUUUUGAGGUAUCUUGGCAAGAAUUCAGCCUCAGGGCCAAGAAAGCCAAAUUAGCUAGAUCUUAGGGAAACCCAACCUCCUGUGUCCUGAGACCAGAACAGACAUUGUGCUAGAUCUUGGGGUUAUGCUCAGCCCUCAUGUUAGAAAUCUUUCCUGUAGGAUGGGCGGGUGCACACAAGUGCCUUGGCAGCCUGGUUAGCAGUGAGAUUCCAGCCCUCACUUCCCAUUGCCAGCCUCUUUGGGGGAAAUGAGAUAAAAGCCCACACAGUCACACAACCCUUUACCAGGCUGCUUCCACCUGAGAAAAAGGAGCAAAAUGGGAAGCUUUACAAAUCCUCCACAUUUGGUAUGAGAAAUGGAGCGGGAAUCCAUUGUCAAUAAUCUCCUGUAAGAGCAGGUUUGGAAGAGAACAAAGCGAAGACUGUCCCUAUAUUUGUAGGUAUACAUAUUUAUGGAACAUUUGUCUCUCUAAAUAUAGCUUCAUUAGGUGUCUCAAAACCCAUGCAUUGAGAAGCGUCCAAAAGCAGUCUCUGGUCUCUGGGCCAAGUUCAUGGAGUCAGCUCCCUUCCAGGUAUGCCCAGGCAUUUUAUUUACCCUCCAAUUUAUUUAAACUUAUUUUUGAACCACAGGAAAGCAGUUGUAUUUGGCUAGGAAAGAUUGUGUUUAAUUCAUUGAAUAUGCAUUGUAAAAGUUUCACAGUCACUUCCCGAAAUCCAAAUUGGGAAGUUUAAAUAUUUGUUUUUAAUUUUCUGGCUCUAAAAUGUUAACUAACAGAAAUGAUUCUUUCUGCUUGGGUGUGCUUGCAGAAAUGGGGUUGUUAUGAGAAACUGCCCCUAAAACAUUCCUUUCUGACCCGACACACUGUGUUUGAAAACUUCACUUGCAGGAGAAAUUUUAAUUUGCAUAAAUAUAAAACAGUGGCUGGCCUUCGUGUUGUGGUACAGAGCCUAGAGGAGGCAGGAAAAUAACGCAGCAUGUAUAUUCCAAGAGUUUGAUGUUAGCAAAUUUAGGGAAGAGGAUGGAUGUGCUUUGGGGGAAACUGUAAAAGGACUUGCGUUACAGUUACAGAAAAUCCUGGUACGGGAGGCCCCAGUACAGUUGUCUUUUCUGAAGAUUUUUGAAGUUUUGUGAAGAACUGUCAGCACAAUUUGUUCACUGCUUGACUUCUGUGGAAUUUUAUGUUUAUCAGACUAUGGUCACCUCUGCAAAGAAGCAAACUGCUUUUUUCUUCUCUGACUGCAACUAAAUGCAAAUAACCUCACUAUAACCUGUAUUCUGUUAGAAACGGAGUCAGAGAAUAUAUUUUUUCUCCCUAAAGGGGUGUUUUGGGGUGAAUCAAACUACAAACCAUUUAAAAUAUCCUGCUCAAAUGGAAGCUAUAAAUGAACUUCCCAAACAGGAAGCAAGAGGCGACUGGAUCCGCUCUGAAAAAUCUGGGUACCAGCAGCCUUCAGAUCAGGCUUUUACAGAUAGGGAGCUCUUGUGGAAUAGAUACAUCUAGAAUUUGGGGAGAUGAGAAAUCCAUAACAACCCUAAUCACCAAAUAAACAUUUAUGUCUUAACUCCUAA